AGUGAACGCUGGCGGUAGGCCUAACACAUGCGAGUCGAACGGCAGCACAGUAAGAGCUUGCUCUUACGGGUGGCGAGUGGCGGACGGGUGAGGAAUACAUCGGAAUCUACUUUUUCGUGGGGGAUAACGUAGGGAAACUUACGCUAAUACCGCAUACGACCUACGGGUGAAAGCAGGGGAUCUUCGGACCUUGCGCGAUUGAAUGAGCCGAUGUCGGAUUAGCUGGUUGGCGGGGUAAAGGCCCACCAAGGCGACGAUCCGUAGCUGGUCUGAGAGGAUGAUCAGCCACACUGGAACUGAGACACGGCCCAGACUCCUACGGGAGGCAGAAGUGGGGAAUAUUGGACAAUGGGCGCAAGCCUGAUCAAGCCAUACCGCGUGGGUGAAGAAGGCCUUCGGGUUGUAAAGCCCUUUUGUUGGGAAAGAAAAGCAGCAGGUUAAUACCCCGCUGUUCUGACGGUACCCAAAGAAUAAGCACCGGCUAACUUCGUG
rnacentral:rRNA from 1 species